AGAGUUUGAUCAUGGCUCAGGAUGAACGCUAGCGGCAGGCUUAACACAUGCAAGUCGAGGGGUAUAAGUCUUCGGAUUUAGAGACCGGCGCACGGGUGCGUAACGCGUAUGCAAUCUACCUUUUACAGCGGGAUAGCCCAGAGAAAUUUGGAUUAAUACCUCAUAGCAUAGCAGCUUCGCAUGAAGGCGCUAUUAAAGUCACAACGGUAAAAGAUGAGCAUGCGUCCCAUUAGCUAGUUGGUAAGGUAACGGCUUACCAAGGCUACGAUGGGUAGGGGUCCUGAGAGGGAGAUCCCCCACACUGGUACUGAGACACGGAUCAGACUCCUACGGGAGGCAGCAGUGAGGAAUAUUGGACAAUGGGCGCAAGCCUGAUCCAGCCAUGCCGCGUGCAGGAUGACGGUCCUAUGGAUUGUAAACUGCUUUUAUACGAGAAGAAACACUCCUACGUGUAGGAGCUUGACGGUAUCGUAAGAAUAAGGAUCGGCUAACUCCGUGCCAGCAGCCGCGGUAAUACGGAGGAUCCAAGCGUUAUCCGGAAUCAUUGGGUUUAAAGGGUCCGUAGGCGGUUUAAUAAGUCAGUGGUGAAAGCCCAUCGCUCAACGGUGGAACGGCCAUUGAUACUGUUAAACUUGAAUUAUUAGGAAGUAACUAGAAUAUGUAGUGUAGCGGUGAAAUGCUUAGAGAUUACAUGGAAUACCAAUUGCGAAGGCAGGUUACUACUAAUUGAUUGACGCUGAUGGACGAAAGCGUGGGUAGCGAACAGGAUUAGAUACCCUGGUAGUCCACGCCGUAAACGAUGGAUACUAGCUGUUGGGAGCAAUCUCAGUGGCUAAGCGAAAGUGAUAAGUAUCCCACCUGGGGAGUACGUUCGCAAGAAUGAAACUCAAAGGAAUUGACGGGGGCCCGCACAAGCGGUGGAGCAUGUGGUUUAAUUCGAUGAUACGCGAGGAACCUUACCAAGGCUUAAAUGUAGAUUGACCGUUUUGGAAACAGAACUUUCGCAAGACAAUUUACAAGGUGCUGCAUGGUUGUCGUCAGCUCGUGCCGUGAGGUGUCAGGUUAAGUCCUAUAACGAGCGCAACCCCUGUUGUUAGUUGCCAGCGAGUCAAGUCGGGAACUCUAACAAGACUGCCAGUGCAAACUGUGAGGAAGGUGGGGAUGACGUCAAAUCAUCACGGCCCUUACGCCUUGGGCUACACACGUGCUACAAUGGCCGGUACAGAGAGCAGCC
rnacentral:rRNA from 1 species